rnacentral:tRNA from 1 species
GCCCGGAUGGUGAAAUUGGUAGACACAAGGGACUUAAAAUCCCUCGACCUAAAAAGUCGUGCCGGUUCGAGUCCGGCUCCGGGCACCA